rnacentral:rRNA from 1 species
GUGGGGAAUUUUGCACAAUGGGCGGAAGCCUGAUGCAGCGACGCCGUGUGGGGGAUGAAGGCCUUCGGGUUGUAAACUCCUUUCGUCAGGGACGAAGUUUUUUUGACGGUACCUGGAUAAGAAGCACCGGCUAACUACGUGCCAGCAGCCGCGGUAAUACGUAGGGUGCGAGCGUUGUCCGGAUUUACUGGGCGUAAAGGGCUCGUAGGUGGUGUGUCGCGUCGUCUGUGUAAUCCAGGGGCUUAACUUUUGGUUGGCAGGCGAUACGGGCAUUGCUUGAGUGCUGUAGGGGAGACUGGAAUUCCUGGUGUAGCGGUGAAAUGCGCAGAUAUCAGGAGGAACACCGAUGGCGAAGGCAGGUCUCUGGGCAGUUACUGACGCUGAGGAGCGAGAGCAUGGGUAGCGAACAGG